rnacentral:rRNA from 1 species
AGCGAACGCUGGCGGCGGGCUUAACACAUGCAAGUCGAACGGUCCUUCGGGAUAGUGGCGGACGGGUGAGUAACACGGGGGAACGUACCCUUAGGUUCGGAACAACACAGGGAAACUUGUGCUAAUACCGGAUAAGCCCUUCGGGGGAAAGAUUUAUCGCCUUUGGAGCGGCCCGCGUCUGAUUAGCUUGUUGGUGAGGUAAUGGCUCACCAAGGCUGCGAUCAGUAGCUGGUCUGAGAGGAUGGCCAGCCACACUGGGACUGAGACACGGCCCAGACUCCUACGGGAGGCAGCAGUGGGGAAUCUUGCGCAAUGGGCGAAAGCCUGACGCAGCCAUGCCGCGUGGAUGAUGAAGGUCUUAGGAUUGUAAAAUCCUUUCACCGGGGACGAUAAUGACGGUACCCGGAGAAGAAGCCCCGGCUAACUUCGUGCCAGCCGCCGCCGUAA